UCCUAGCCGUAAACGAUGGUCACUAGGUGUUUGUGGUAUCGACCCCACGAGUGCCGCAGCUAACGCGAUAAGUGACCCGCCUGGGGAGUACGGCCGCAAGGCUAAAACUCAAAAGAAUUGACGGGGGCCCGCACAAGCGGUGGAGCAUGUGGUUCAAUUCGAUGCUACGCGAAGAACCUUACCUGGGUUUGACAUCCUGUCAGUAAUCUGGUGGAAACACCGGAUGACCGUAACCAAUCGGCGGGCAGGACAGGUGCUGCAUGGCUGUCGUCAGCUCGUGCCGUGAGGUGUUGGGUUAAG
rnacentral:rRNA from 1 species